GACGAACGCUGGCGGCGUGCUUAAUACAUGCAAGUCAACUGAACUUAAGGUAGCAAUAUUUUAAGGGAGGUCGCGCACGGGUGAGUAACACGUAGGUAAUCUGCCUUUAGGUCUGACAUAAUUCCGCGAAAGCGGGACUAAUAUCAGAUGAUGCAGCGGCUCGACAUCGAGACAGUUGUUAAACCUUCGGGGCCUAAAGAUGAGCCUGCGUCUGAUUAGGUAGNGGCGGAGUAAAAGCCCACCAAGCCUGCGAUCAGUAGCUGGUCUGAGAGGAUGAUCAGCCACACUGGAACUGAGACACGGUCCAGACUCCUACGGGAGGCAGCAGUAAGGAAUAUUGCUCAAUGGCCGAAAGGCUGAAGCAGCAACGCCGCGUGGAGGAUGAAA
rnacentral:rRNA from 1 species